rnacentral:rRNA from 1 species
GAUGAACGCUGGCGGCGUGCCUAAUACAUGCAAGUCGAGCGAACAGACGAGGAGCUUGCUCCUCUGACGUUAGCGGCGGACGGGUGAGUAACACGUGGAUAACCUACCUAUAAGACUGGGAUAACUUCGGGAAACCGGAGCUAAUACCGGAUAAUAUAUUGAACCGCAUGGUUCAAUAGUGAAAGACGGUUUUGCUGUCACUUAUAGAUGGAUCCGCGCCGCAUUAGCUAGUUGGUAAGGUAACGGCUUACCAAGGCAACGAUGCGUAGCCGACCUGAGAGGGUGAUCGGCCACACUGGAACUGAGACACGGUCCAGACUCCUACGGGAGGCAGCAGUAGGGAAUCUUCCGCAAUGAGCGAAAGCCUGACGGAGCAACGCCGCGUGAGUGAUGAAGGUCUUCGGAUCGUCAAACUCUGUUAUUAGGGAAGAACAAAUGUGUAAGUAACUAUGCACGUCUUGACGGUACCUAAUCAGAAAGCCACGGCUAACUACGUG